rnacentral:tRNA from 1 species
GGGGCGGUAGCUCAGCUGGUCAGAGCGGCGGACUCAUAAUCCGACAGGUCGUCGGUUCGAUCCCGACCCGCCCCA